AACGAACGCUGGCGGCAUGCCUAACACAUGCAAGUCGAACGAUCCCUUCGGGGAUAGUGGCGCACGGGUGCGUAACGCGUGGGAACCUGCCCUUAGGUUCGGAAUAACUCAGAGAAAUUUGAGCUAAUACCGGAUAAUGUCUUCGGACCAAAGAUUUAUCGCCUUUGGAUGGGCCCGCGUUGGAUUAGCUAGUUGGUGGGGUAAAGGCCUACCAAGGCGACGAUCCAUAGCUGGUCUGAGAGGAUGAUCAGCCACACUGGGACUGAGACACGGCCCAGACUCCUACGGGAGGCAGCAGUGGGGAAUAUUGGACAAUGGGCGAAAGCCUGAUCCGGCAAUGCCGCGUGAGUGAUGAAGGCCUUAGGGUUGUAAAGCUCUUUUACCCGGGAUGAUAAUGACAUUACCGGGAGAAUAAGCCCCGGCUAACUCCGUG
rnacentral:rRNA from 1 species